ensembl:lncRNA
GAAAUAACAGUAAAAAGGGAAACAUUAAUUGUCUUGUAUUUUUUUAAAUUGCAGCUUACAAACACUUCAAAACCAUUUUUCAUACAGAGAACAUAUCAUUCUGAGGAAAUAUGCAUAGUUUCACGAUUUUACAAAACUUUAUGGAUAACAGAAAAUUAAAAAAACUGUCAGACAUCUGAUCUCACUCUUAGGCCACUCUCUGUGUGAGGGAAGGGAGGGGGAGGGGGGGUUGGCUGACAGAGAGAGAGAGGGACAGAGAGAGACAGAGAGAGAGUUAACAUCUCUUUAAUCACCAGGGGGAAAAAAAUCAGUAAUUGUGUGUUGUUGUUGUUGUUGUUGUUGUUGUUGUUGUUGUUUUUCAUCAUUACAGCUUAAGAAAUCUCUUAGGCCUUAUCCUUUUCUGUCAGUUUUAGGGACCAAAAAAAAAAAAAACCUAGUACAAUUUGUAGGGCUCAGACAACAUGAUUUUAUAUUAUUAGGUUAAAAAUUAUGUUGAUUGCAACAUAAAAAAAUAAAAAAACGUGGACUUUACAAAUGCUUAUAGAUCAAUAAAAUCAUUAAAAAUGCUUUUUCGCCGAGUGCAUAAUAAUUAGUCAUAUUGAUAUUCUGAUGAUAUUUUUUUCCAAGCACAUUUUUACCAAUUCCAAAUCACAUCAAUCUUAAUAAAUACUAUACAUUUGGUAUUUAAUCAUUUAUGAGUGAUAUAUAAUUGUCCUUAAAGGCUGGAAGUGAAAAACUCCUUAUAUUCAGGAGUGCUGAAUUAUUAGGCAUGUUUUUUUGCCAUGCUUUGGUCAUAGAGCUCAUUGUAGCGGUGCCUCAGGUGUUGAAAUAGAUUUGUUAUACAUUAUACAGGUUCACACGUACUCCGUCCGCAGUGCGUAUGUGUAUGCAGUUCAGAAGCAGCAGCGAGAGCGCGUUACUGUAACGCGAAAGAACAUUAAAAUAAUGCGCGAGCGCGAAUCUAUCCGCUCGCACGCAAAUUUCCUUUGCUUUGUCACAAAACCAGACACGCGUGCUCAGAUACAU